rnacentral:rRNA from 1 species
CUACGGGGUGCACCAGUGGGGAAUAUUGGACAAUGGGGGAAACCCUGAUCCAGCAAUGCCGCGUGUGUGAAGAAGGCCUGCGGGUUGUAAAGCACUUUCGGUUGGGAGGACUGCUUCUAGCACUAAUAUUGUUGGAAGUUGACGUUACCUUCAGAAGAAGCACCGGCUAACUCCGUGCCAGCAGCCGCGGUAAUACGGAGGGUGCAAGCGCUAAUCGGAAUUACUGGGCGUAAAGCGCGCGUAGGCGGCUAGAUCAGUCGGGUGUGAAAGCCCCGGGCUUAACCUGGGAACUGCAUCCGAUACUGUCUAGAUUGAGUACAGGAGAGGAGAGUGGAAUUCCACAUGUAGCGGUGAAAUGCGUAGAUAUGUGGAGGAACACCAAUGGCGAAGGCAGCUCUCUGGCCUGAUACUGACGCUGAGGUGCGAAAGCGUGGGGAGCAAACAGGAUUAGAUACCCGAGUAGUC